rnacentral:sRNA from 1 species
CUGUUUCAAUUUGCUGCGGACAAAUAAAAUGAAUGUGACUAUCAAUUCCGCCUGCCGUAACGAUAUAGUUCUCUCCUGCAAUCACCUCAGUGCCUGCCCCUAUGGGAAGGUUAACCCCAGCCAUCGUCUUGGGAUUUCCUGCGUGACCCAGGCCAUAAAUACGUCCUGCCUUGAUACCUAUGUCAGCCUUAAUAAUACCCCAGUAGUCAAUUAUCACUGCGUUUGUAAUGACCAAAUCCAUAGCUUCAACCAAAGCCUGGGGAUCCUGCCCCAUACCAUCCCG